rnacentral:rRNA from 1 species
UACGUAGGGGGCAAGCGUUAUCCGGAUUUACUGGGUGUAAAGGGAGCGUAGACGGCAUGGCAAGUCUGGAGUGAAAACCCAGGGCUCAACCUUGGGAUUGCUUUGGAAACUGUCAAGCUGGAGUGCCGGAGAGGUAAGCGGAAUUCCUAGUGUAGCGGUGAAAUGCGUAGAUAUUAGGAGGAACACCAGUGGCGAAGGCGGCUUACUGGA